rnacentral:rRNA from 1 species
UAAAGGGUGACACCGGCUACGGAUGGCCAUGCGGCGCAUUAGCUAGUUGGCGGGGUAACGGCCCACCAAGGCGACGAUGCGUAGGGGUUCUGAGAGGAAGGUCCCCCACACUGGUACUGAGACACGGACCAGACUCCUACGGGAGGCAGCAGUGAGGAAUAUUGGUCAAUGGGCGCGAGCCUGAACCAGCCAAGUCGCGUGAGGGAAGACGGUCCUAUGGAUUGUAAACCUCUUUUGUCGGGGAGCAAAAGACGCCACGUGUGGCGUUCCGAGAGUACCCGAAGAAAAAGCAUCGGCUAACUCCGUGCCAGCAGCCGCGGUAAUACGGAGGAUGCGAGCGUUAUCCGGAUUUAUUGGGUUUAAAGGGUGCGCAGGCGGAAGAUCAAGUCAGCGGUAAAAUUGAGAGGCUCAACCUCUUCGAGCCGUUGAAACUGGUUUUCUUGAGUGAGCGAGAAGUAUGCGGAAUGCGUGGUGUAGCGGUGAAAUGCAUAGAUAUCACGCAGAACUCCGAUUGCGAAGGCAGCAUACCGGCGCUCAACUGACGCUCAUGCACGAAAGUGUGGGUAUCGAACAGGAUUAGAUACCCUGGUAGUCCACACAGUAAACGAUGAAUACUAAUUGUUCGGGGAGAAUGAUC